UAUGAAAAUAUCGUUGGCGUUCAGAAA
rnacentral:piRNA from 1 species